ACAUGGCGGAUGACUGAGAGUCACGUUGAAAUGGUUGAAUGCUGAAUUAAGUUAAAUAUUUCGACUUUCGAGAUGUUCUCAUAGUUGAUGUGUGAUUUAGUGUAACAGAAAUGUUAACUGUUGGUGUGCUAACGCUUAAGAUUUUGUGCUGUGCUACUGAGAGUGACGUCAUUACUUAGAAUGUUGUGGAAUGGAUGGCAUGAUAGAAAUUCUUGCAGGGGUUUUCAGUGCCCCACUGCUAGAUACAUUACAUUCAGUGGCAUUCACUCUAUACUUGCUGCUACUGUAAUAGCUAGCACGUGAUGGUUACGUUUCUUCGCAUCUACGUUUCUCACGUGCAAAAGCGAGGGCGGGAAUUUAAAAGUUUAUCGCCGGUAGCUAUCGUAAAGAACACGCGUUGGAUUUUCUCGUGUUGUUACCAUAGUGCACUGAAAAUAAAUGACAAUGUGCAGAGCUCUGACGAAAUAUUGUAACUGAGUUAUUUAACGUGGGAAAAAGUUUGAACGGUUAUUAACGUGAAUAUAGAAAACGAAAAUCAAUGUGUUUUAAUUUUGGUAUACUGUAAUUCGACUAUGACUAACAUCCCUAAUAUCCACUAUCGUGAACUAUCAACAGGCGUGUGCCCAAGCAGUUAAGCGUGACAAGGUUAUACAAUUUGACUUCGCUGAUUGCUGCCAGCAUCAGAAUUUUGUCGCCGUCGUCUAAUCAUCUAAACAACUUUACACGGAAGAUUCGACAAGACUAUGCGACUUGAUGCGUCCAUUUCGUGAAAUAGGCGGAAAAAAAUGUUACCCUAACACCAUGGCUAUAGUGAUACAAAAACCAGCAAUAUUGCCAAAAUAAAUUUGAAAAAUUAUUUCAAUCGAAAUCAACAAGAAAUCUAUAUACCUCAAUGAUUCUCUAUUUCUGUAACGAUGGGCAAAUACUAAUACAAGGCUUAUUU